rnacentral:rRNA from 1 species
AACGAACGCUGGCGGCGUGCUUAACACAUGCAAGUCGAACGCGAAAGGGACUUCGGUCCUGAGUAAAGUGGCGCACGGGUGAGUAACGCGUAGAUAACCUGUCUUCAUGUCUGGAAUAAUACGCCGAAAGGGGUACUAAUACCGGAUAUCUUGCUUUUCAUAAGUUAUGCAAGCAGAGGUGGCCUCUGCAUAUGCUACUGCAUGAAGAGGGGUCUGCGUACCAUUAGCUAGUAGGUGGGGUAAUGGCCUACCUAGGCGACGAUGGUUAGCGGGUCUGAGAGGAUGAUCCGCCACACUGGCACUGGAACACGGGCCAGACUCCUACGGGAGGCAGCAGUGAGGAAUAUUGCGCAAUGGGGGAAACCCUGACGCAGCGACGCCGCGUGAGUGAAGGAAGGCCUUCGGGUCGUAAAGCUCUGUCAAGAGGAAAGAAGUGUACAAUGGCUAAUACCUGUUGUAUUUGACGGUACCUCUAAAGGAAGCACCGGCUAACUCCGUGCCAGCCGCAGC